UGAGUAUGAAUUUACACGAGUCGUAUUUGGGAAAAAUUCGGCGCCUAUGGAAGCGCAAUAUGUCGCCCAAGAAAAUGCUCGUCGUUUUCAAGAUCGUUAUCCACUAGCAGCUGAAACAGUUCUGAAGUCUACAUACAUGGACGAUAGUAUCGAUAGCGUCGAGGACGAAGCCAAAGCCGAGACUAUUCAAAAGGAACUGCAAGAGCUAUGGAAGAAUGCUGGUAUGGAAGCCAGGAAAUGGGUCUCUAAUUCAAAGCAAGUUCUGGCAGCUAUUCCAGAAGAGCAUCGAGCAUCUGAACUGGUGAUUCGAAACGCAGAACAACCAGUGACUAAAACGUUAGGUAUUUCGUGGUUCAGUGAAGAAGACACCCUUUCCGUUCCAGCACCACCAAUGACUGCAUUCGUGUCGGUAACAAAACGAAACGUCCUAAAGAAGAUAGCUACAAUCUUUGACCCUCUCGGUCUGAUUUCGCCGGCGAUCAUAAAAGGAAAGAUAUUGCUUCAAUCGUUGUGGAGCCGAGGGUAUGAUUGGGAUGAUGAAAUACAUGACGACAUAGCAAACCAAAUUCAGUCUUGGCUUAAUCAGUUACCCGUUUUAGCAGAAGUGAAGAUUCCUCGUUGUAUUAGACUUGCAUUAACAAUUACAUCCUUCAAGUUGAUCACCUUCGUUGACGCCUCAACAAGUGCAUUUGGUGCUGCAGUGUAUGCCCGGUUCGAGUAUGAGCAAUCCUAUCCUCC
rnacentral:lncRNA from 1 species